rnacentral:lncRNA from 1 species
GUGGAGGAAAGAAACCACUGUGGUAGGUUAAGUGAAUGACAUUUACAACAGAGUAUAAAGCAGCCAUCAGAAUCAUUCAGAGGACGCGAGAAGCAGGUCAUGACCAACACCUUGACUGGCCUAUGUUUAAAAUGACUUUAAAAACAGCUUCAGUCACAGGAAAGUCCAGAGCUCCCCUCCUCCCAAACUCCUAUUCUUCUUAAAUCAACUCCUUUACUAGGUAUUCAUUCUACCAAGACUACAACCAACUUCCUUGAGGGUUCAUUACAAUUUUUUCUUCCUCGAAAAUAUGUCAUCCUUCCCAGGUGAGAGACAUAACUGAUAUCUUAAAUACUACCCAGCGCUAAGGACCAGAGUAAAUACUACCCAGCGCUAAGGACCAGAGCUAUUACCACUAUGCCUUACAACCACUCCUCAUUCAACUCAGUCACCACCAGAAGUCGCAGUCUCCCCAAUUAUCCAUCAUUAAAACACUAAUUCUUAUGUUCAAGAACCCUCCAGCCCCUUCCCUCAUAAGUCUUAUUCACUUACCUUUAAAGCUUGCUCUCUGAUAUUGUAUAUUUUCUCUCAAACUCACUUCCACUCACAACCCGUUAUUACUCAGACACCUGUUGUCUGGAAGAUAAACUUUCCCUUCUCAAGAAGAGGUUGUUUUGUUGUUUGGUUUAGUUUCUCCCACACAUACAAGUUGAAGAAGUAAAGCAAGAUGUUUCUGCUUUAUGAAAGUAAAGUGCUCCUCCUUGAUAUUUUGAACUUUCUCCUGCUUUCAAAACCCCAGCUCCCUUGAAAGGCAUGCCAUCAGACUUUUCUACUCUGUACCCUUCCUAGGUGUCCUCACCUUCUUACAUUAUAUCCUUCAUUUGGCAAUGACUUUGGGUCCUGGUUUACUGCACCACUAUGCACAACUGAGGCACUCAUCAUCCUUAGCUACAUUAAAAGUCAGGAAUGUGACCUAUCUAACAUAGUGGCCUCUCAUUUUCUUGCUAUUCUUUGUCUCAAUGAUUAUCUUCUUCUAGCUUACCUCAGUCACCCAUGCACAUGGUCUUACAACAGACCCUAAUAUCACUGGUCACUGCCAUCUGACCAUCACAUCGAAUCUUUCCAGGUCACCUGUUCUAAAAUCCCCAUUCCAAUAGUUUCACUGAGGCUUCUUCCUUACUAUAGCAGAUUUUCACUAUUCGUUACCUCCUUCACAUCUUCAUGUACCUCUUGCUCUGCCAAGGUGCAACAGUUUAUCAGUUUUACUUGCCUGCACACAUCCUGACUUUCUUUGCUACUCUGUGUACUCCUUACAAACCUACAACCUAACAGCCACAUACAAAAGAAUGAAACUGGACCACUUAUGCCAUACACAGAAUUACCUCAGAAUGGAUUAAGGACUUCAGUGCAAGACCUGAAAACUCCUAGGAAAGAAAGAAGGAUGCAAGCUCCUUGAAAACAGUCUUUGCAAUGAUUUUUUGGAUUUGACACCUAAUGCGAAGGCACCAUAGGCAAAAAAUAAACAACUGUUGCUGCAUCCA